GAUGAACGCUGGCGGCGUGCCUAAUACAUGCAAGUCGAGCGAACGGACGAGAAGCUUGCUUCUCUGAUGUUAGCGGCGGACGGGUGAGUAACACGUGGAUAACCUACCUAUAAGACUGGGAUAACUUCGGGAAACCGGAGCUCAUACCGGAUAAUAUUUUGAACCGCAUGGUUCAAAAGUGAAAGACGGUCUUGCUGUCACUUAUAGAUGGAUCCGCGCUGCAUUAGCUAGUUGGUAAGGUAACGGCUUACCAAGGCAACGAUGCAUAGCCGACCUGAGAGGGUGAUCGGCCACACUGGAACUGAGACACGGUCCAGACUCCUACGGGAGGCAGCAGUAGGGAAUCUUCCGCAAAGGGCGAAAGCCUGACGGAGCAACGCCGCGUGAGUGAUGAAGGUCUUCGGAUCGUAAAACUCUGUUAUUAGGGAAGAACAUAUGUGUAAGUAACUGUGCACAUCUUGACGGUACCUAAUCAGAAAGCCACGGCUAACUACGUG
rnacentral:rRNA from 1 species